rnacentral:misc_RNA from 1 species
AAGUCGUAACAAGGUUUCCGUAGGUGAACCUGCGGAAGGAUCAUUAACACUUUUUCCCUUUCCCUAACCUGGAGUGGGAGUUUGGCAGAAAGACCUUUUUAUCGGGGUUUUCUUUGCUAAGCUUCUCUUCAGACCACCCCUUUGUGUGCACUUGUUGAGAGGGAGAAGCCAGAAGCUUUAUUGUCUUUUGGUAGAUCUCUCUUACUAUUUUUCCAUUUUUUCUUUUUUUUACCCCUUUUUUAAUGCGAUAGACUGAAAUAAUGACCUAUUGGAAGGGUCCGAAACCUCCAAAAAUUGUAAUACAACUCUUAGCAACGGAUAUCUAGGCUCUC